GAGUUUUUCAACAAGAAAACAAAAUGGAAAUGGCUGCUCCAGUUACAUUGACGAUUGAAGAACAGAUGGAUAAAACUAUUUGCAAAGUUUGUUCAACAACAUUUUCUAAGUUUUCCAAUUUAGCAACUCAUAUAAAAAGAAAGCACCCAGCUCCAAAGAAAGCAAGAACUGGGUCAUAUGUAUGCGAAGAAUGUGGAGAAAGAUUUAUUUGUUGGUUAAAAUAGUAACUAUUGUAAUUUUUUUAACAAUUCAUCGAAGUUUUGACAAUAGAAAAUUGUCCAUGAUCAUAUUUAUUUGUAAGUAACAUUAGAGAUAUUACACCUAAAAAAUCAAAUGUGCUUUGUGUGAUAAUUUAAGUGCUAACAAAGCAGAUAUUAUGCUCCAUUACAACAGACAUCAUGACAUCGCUGUGCAUAAUGAAUAUUUAGAGUUUGAUUCACUGCAUGAAUUCCACCUUUGGAAAGGAAAGAUUGAGAAACGAACCUUAUCGUCUUUUGUGAAUAAGCAUGACAUUAAAAAAGCAGCAAAUUCUAACAAAAUUAAAUACGAAUGUCAUCGUUCAGGGAAGUUUAAAACCGAAGGCAAGAAUAUUCGGUUUCUGAAGCAUCAAGGCAGCAAUAAAACAAAUGGUUUCUGUCCAGCUGAAAUGGAAAAGUGGUGUUUGGAGAAACCAAAUGUUCAGUUCAGUUUUGUAAGACACAUGUUAGACAUCAACAAGACAGAGACCUAGAACAUCUUUUUCUUUCAAAAACCGAUAGAGAAAAAAAACUGACAGGAUUUCUGCACAAAUACCAUUCCAAAGUAUUCAGGAUACAAUUAGAUUAGACUUGAACAAAUUCACCUUUUACAGAAACAGGACUUAUAUAAUAUUCAGAAGUCAUUCAACGUAAAUAACUCUGGCAUGUGACAUAAAAAUUAUGCCAUUAGUGUUGAUGCCUGGGUGAAAGAAUCUGAGUCAGUUUUAUAUUAAAAGUCACAGGACAGUUCUUCUGAAUAUGCUGGUGUGAGAGAUGAAAAUUUUAUCUUAAUUACCAUGACUCCUGGACAAAAAGAGCUUUCUGAGGUUUGGCAAUGACUGUGUUUGUAUGGAUGGCACUCAUGGCCUCAAUGGAUAUGAUUUUGAGCUACAUACUUUACUAGUUCUUCAUGAGCUGCGAGAAGGCUAUCCAGGAGCCUUCCUCAUUUCAAAUAAAUGUGAUGGAGCCGUAAUGAAAUGUUUUACUCAGGCAAUUGGACAGCUUAAACAUUUAUGUCUGAUAUGGCAGAGGCUUAUUAUACGGCUUGGAUCAACAUCAUGCAACAACCAGAAUUCCGGUAAGCUAAUAAAUAAUUCCAAAUAGUUGUUUUCUU